rnacentral:lncRNA from 1 species
UUGAGGGUGUUUUUCAUUUUUCGGUUCUAUUAGCUGGGGGUAUUUUUGGUUUCCGAUUCUUUUAACCUAAUGAGGGCCCUGAAAAACAAAACUUUCAUUUUGUACUGCCCUCUUCCACCUCUCUUCUCCUUUAGAUCCUUACUCCUGCACCUCCACCACUUGGACCACCUUCCGGCGUUUUAGGAUGACUUUUCCGUCCUCGUUUCUCCUUCUCUUGUGUAGCUGCCGCUAUGCUCCGCUAUCCGGUAUUGACAAGCCUUGUUUUUAGCUGUUUUUGUUUAUCUGACUUCAUUUUGGCCAUUCUUUCGGUGCAGCAUAUUGCAAACCUUGCAGGUAACCAAAGGAUUGUUUUGCCUGUUCCCUCAUUCACUGUCAUCAACAGGGUAUCACAUGCGGGAAACAAACUUGCUACGCAGGUCUGCUUUCAAAAACUGGUCUGUAUGUGUGUGUGAGAGAGAUAAGUAAUGCUUAAUAAAUUUCUAUUACACCUGCCUAUGCAGGAGUUUACUAUUCUUCCUUUGGAUAGUUCCAAUUUCAAGCUUGCUAUGCAACAGGGCAUGCGAACACAUGCACGAGCAGUGGCGGAACUAGAAAUUUUAGGAAGCCUAGGCAAAUUUUAUGAUUAAGUCCCUAAACUUUGCAUUUCCUUAUAAAUUUGUCUUUUCUCUAAUUUUUUUUUAGGCCAAAAAACCUACCUAGUCCAAAGAAAUUUGUAUUUUUUUUACUUUGAGCCAGGGCAUUGGACCUACCAAGCCCUGUGUUAGGUCCGCCACUGUGCACGAGUCCAUGUCAGUUUUGCAUAUUACAGUCAUUCCGCUUUCCCAGAUACGUUCUCUAAAUGAAUUUUUUUCAUUAUUUAGUUGUUAAGUUUUGGUUACGUCAUUUCAGGGUGAGAUUGCUAUGAAAUACGGUAAUAAGGCAGUACAAUAUUGUGACGAAGGUGGAUUCGCCCUGAACAUCAAGGUAAAUAAUGGUUAGUAACAUUUUUUUUUCUUUUUACGAAUGGUACUUGGAUACCUGCUUUCAUAUUCUGGCCAGUUACUGAUGAGCUCUUAAAUGAUCAGGAAAAAGAAUGUUUGGAAUUGCUGGAAAGUGCCAUUGACAAAAGUAAAUGAACCCUUUUUCCCAUUUGUAAAUAUGGUGUUGAUUAUUUUUGUGAAUUAUUUGAUUGUUAUGGCUCAAGCAAGGAAUUGUUAAAUGUGGAAGUUUUAAACGUAAGUAACCCAUUUCCCGCCAAGAAAGUCCUCUUUAGAACUAAGGUCGGAGUCAAAAUCCCUCCCCGGCGUCCUCCCCUUUGAGCCUAAUCCAUGUGCUGCUGAUUCUGGUGCCAAAACCAAGGAUCUAUAGAACUCAGAAACUUAAAGAAAUGAUUCUCCACCAGCUGUUGCAAUUUUUGGUCUGACUUUGAGCGAGAUUGUUUUGGUUUCUUCUAGCAUAUCCCUUCUGUUUCUUGCUUCCUUUCUCUUUUUUUAUAUAAUGUUGAUUUUCAGAUACAAGGUAAAACCUCUUUUAUCCAUUGUUGAGAGAUGAUCGAAGCUUGACUUGGUGAAGGACUCUCGAAAGCUACCACUUGGAAGCUUUUGUUUUCCUCUUUUAUGGAUAGGUUUUUGUUAAUUUAGGUGGCUUUUUUUGCGGGAUUUAGAAUUGAGGAAUUUAAGUGCUUAUUUUUCAUUCCCCUUUUUCUUCACAGGAACUACCGGAGUUCCAGCAAGUGAAAGGAUGAGAUGAGAAAGUCAGAUACAAGUAGGCUGCAACAUUAUCAUGGAGAAUAUGCAAUCAUGGAACUGUAUUCUACUUAAAUUGAACGGUGGAACAAUUUAAUUUUCAGCUUUGCGGAGUUUGCAUGUUAAUUGGUUCUUCUUGGACAACAAAUUUUGAUAGCUUAAACAAAAAAAGAGCUACUUCUUAUGAAUCAGUAAAAUUAGUUUUGUUAAUCUUUCCAUCUUAUUUUUUUUUUUAGCUAUUUUUUUGCUUUGCCUUAGAUAAGCAAUGCAACUCAUUCAAGACGAGAGCUAUUCUGGUGAAGGAAGUACUAUAGAAGAGUGCUUCUGGAAUCAUUGUGAUAGUGAACCCUCAGAAGGUAUACUAGGCAUUGAUAUAUAUUUUUAUUAGUUCAAAAUAUGCAGCAUUUUGCAUAAUACUCAUUCUAUAUGAUAUUAACCUUUGAGCAAAGAGUCACGCACAUUAAGCUUGGGGACGUGAAAAGUGAGAGGAAGUAUAUUGCAUGGUCUUCACCUCAAGGCUUGCAUCUUAUUAAAAUGGACAAGGAGGGUUUGGUGGGAUGUUGAGAAAUAAUGUUGGCGCGGUGUGGGGAUAUUUUUCCAAAUCAAUGAAGGUAUGCAGGGCUGAUGAGGCAGAGGUGUUAGCGAUUUUACAUGCACUUUUAUUUUGACAACAAUUUAAUGUGUUUCAGGUGGCAUUUGGGAGUGACUCUUCACUUGUAGUAGGUUGGGGCCGGGGUAUGGUGGCUCACAAACGAAUUUCAUUGAAUUGAUUAUCUUAUGACGCUUGGUUUUUGUUAUGAUGUUAGUCAUAUUCUAAGAGAGGGAAAUUCUGAGGCCGAAGUUUUGGUCAAGGAAGGGGACAGGGGGUUGCAAGCAACCUGUGUAGGUUUUUCAUGGGCAUAUUGCUUUGUAAUUAAUAUUCGACUUUUGAGACUUGGUUCUCUUUUAUCUUCAUGAAUAAAGUUGGGUUUUCAAAACAAUAAAUAAAAAAUUAUUAUUUUCAAUUUAUUUGGUUUCUAAAUGUUUCCUCACAGUUGAUAUCCAUGAUUAAUCCCCUCGAAACUCUACGAUCACGUUAAGUGAAUAGAUCUCUCACAACAAAAAUUUAUACAACUUAGGUCAUUAUUAUUUUUCUCUAUUAUGCUUCCUCAAUUAAUUUUUACUAAUAUAUCAUAGAUAAAAAAUAUUUAAAUAUUUUUCAAUAAUGCACAUAUAUGUUAUAGUUAAUAUUAAAUACAUUUUAGCGGCAUUUUUUUCCUUUUACUAAUAUAUCAUAGAUAAAAAAAAAGACCUAGUCUAUUUGGUAACUAAUAUCAUAAUUUCACGUAAUGCACAUACGCUUAAUAAGCUAAAACAAACUCCACAUGACUUAGGCGUUUGGUGACAGAACGGAACAUGACAUAACAAUACGGAACGGGACAGAACAGGAUGGAACAAGACAAUAAUGUUCUAUGUGUUGUGUUUGGUAACUCCUAGUCAUUAGAACAUAACCAUAAUUUUAAUUACAUAUAUAACCCUGCAUGUUUAAUAUUUGAUUGAGGAUAAAAAAAUUGAACAUGCAUAGAAACUGUUUGUUAUUGCUUAUUUCAUGAAAUAAUCACUUAUUUCUUUAAAAUAAUCACUUAUAUAUUAUUUAAGUUGUUUCAGUGUGCUUUUAAAAAAAUACAAAAUUUGAUUAUCUCUUUAAGCUAUUUUAAGUGCGUUUGUUUAGAUUAAUUUUUAGAGAUUUUGAGAAAAGCAUAAGUUGAUAUGUGUUUGACUACUCUAAUUAAAAUCGCUUUUUUUUUGAAACAAAAGAUUGUAUUAAGAUAAAGGGAAUUAUGAUUUCUUCACACCUCAUUUUGAGGUGGAAGGAGGUGGAGGAGGAGAGAGAUAGGAAGAAAAGAAAAAGUAUGAGAGAGAAAGUAUGAGAUGUGAUAGAUGAUAAGAGGAGAGAGGUAGAAACAAAAAUAGGUGGAAAUGAAGUGUUUAAAAGAUGAGGUGUGUAUAUAUCAUUACUCAGAUAAAGGUAAUUCAUGAGAACAAUCCUUUCAAGUAUAGAUUGGGUAAAAAAAUAAAACAAGGAAAAUAAAGAACAUACACCCCAAGCCCAGCCAAAAACAAUUCUAGGCCAAGCUACCCUUAGUGCUAUUUUGGUGUCUAAGAUAACUUAUGAAGAGCCUCAUUAAAACCCCCUUAGGAAAAAUCCAGUGAGAAAAAUCCUAAGGGGAAAAAAAGAGUACUCAAACAUAAACUAACAAAAAAAAAAAACACUAACCAGCGACUACAAAAUAAUAUCAAAUAUAAUGCACCAUAUAUCUUAUAGGCACUGUUGCAAAAAGUAGAUAGAUUCACUUUGACAGCAACUUCUCAUUCCAAAUUCUUUGAUCAACCGUGCAGUUUCAUGGCCCAUGGCAUAGAAUCAGAUAGCAUCAUCCAAAAGAGCGUUAAUUCAUUCUGUUUGGUUCAAGCUCCAAUAGAACUAUUCCAGUAGUAUAGAUCCUUCCGGGCAUUGGCGCCACGUUUGGCCAAGGCAUCAGCUGACAUAUUUGCUUCCCUAAAGAUAUGUCUAACCAAAAAACAGUUAACAAGAUGGACCAGCAUAUCAUUCUGAUUCAGAAUGUUGAUUAGUUUCCAGGGACGAUUUCUACUGCAAUUUACCCAAUUGACGGCCAAAGUUGAGUCGCUCUCAAUUAUGACAUUAUGAAUUGAGUGCUGGUGGCAUAAUUGUAAUGCCUCAAAAAUUGCCAAUACCUCUGCUUCAAAUGCAAAACCUAUCCCAAUGUUCUUUGAAAAGAACCCUUUAAUUUCAUUCUUGUGAUUUUUCAGAAUUCCCCCAAUUCCGCACAUCCCAGGACUCCCCUUAGCUGCACCAUCAACAUUUAUUUUUAGAAUUCCAGCAGAGGGUGGGAGCCAAGUUGAAAAUCUCCUUCUUGACUCCUUAGGCAUCAAUCGGAUAUUCACAAAGUCCCUAUUAAAUUGUUCCAAUUCAUAAGGACAGCUACGGUUUGCAGCUUUUAUCCACCUCCCAAUGUGUAAGAGAUGCAUUUCCCACAUGUUCUGCACACUGCAGCACUUCCCAUUAAAACAAGCUCCAUUUCUUUCAAUCCAUAUAGUCCAUAUUAAUGCAUAUGGAAUCAUGUUCCAUAAUGUACCAUCUGACACUUUAGGAAGAUCUCCCCAUUCCAAAAGCAAUUGAUUAAGAAACAAAGGUACAGCCCAAGCAAAGCCUUCUCUGUUCACAAUUGCAUUCCAUAGUUGCCAAAUCACUCUACAGUGGAGAAACAAGUGCUCAACAGUUUCAAUAUGUUGAUUGCAGAAAACACAAUUGUUCACACCAUUCAGAUCAAUACCUCUGGCCACCAGAUUAGCUUUUGUAGCAAUUUUAUUCUGCUGGGCUUGCCAAACGAACAAGCACACUUUUGGUGGAGUCAGCUUUUGGAUUGCACACGGUACCUGCCAGUCUUUUAUCAUCAUUUGAUCUUCAGCUCAUCUGCACAAAUCUUUUACAGAAAACAUUCCAUUUUGAUGCAAGCACCAAAUAAUCGAAUCCCUCUUGCCAACAGAAGGAAAAAUCAUGUUGACCACUCUAUUAAAUUCUUCAAAUAUCUCCAAUUCCCACUCGAAACCUAUUCUCUAUCAUAAUAGCUUUUUAUGAUAAGUUAAAAGUAGUUUUUUCAAAUAACUUGUUUUCAGUUUUUAAAAAAACACGAAACGAACAUAAAAUGAUUUUUUGAAUUUAAAAAGUGAUUUUGGAUUAAAAUAAGUGAUUUUUUUCAUCAAAAAAUUGAUUUUUCUAAAAUAAGUUGUUGAAUCAAACGAACUAUAGUUGGCUCGUUUGUCACUGCUUAAAAAAUGUGAUUUUACUUUUGACAAAAAUAAUUGAUUUUAUUUUAAGUGAUUUUUUUGAAAAACAGAAAUUAUUUAACUUUGUCGACAAAUAUAAUAAGUACUUUUCACUUUAAGAAGUUAUUUAAAACUAUUUAGAUACAAAAAAUUUCAAAUACAAAUUAGGGGUAUUUUUAACUGUGUAAAAAUUUUGAGAGAGUGUUCUGUUUCGUUCUCUUCCGUUUCACCCUUUUCCAUGAACCAAAGUGUCUCGUUCCUAGAGCUUUUUGAACUGUUCUGUUCCAUCUUAAAAGCAUGACAAACACAAAACAUAACCCAUAUGUCAUGUUUCGUUCACUUGCCACGUGUUUACCAAACGCUACCUUAAUGUUGUUGUACAAUAUUUUAAUAGAAGCUUUUUUGUUUAGUAUCCAGAUACCGGUAGGAUUUUAUUUCAAAAAAAAAAAAAAGAUACCGGUAGGAUUUUGUAACGCCCCGAAUUUCGGGUGUCACUUUAGUAACCUAUUAAAGUAAAUAUGCAAUAUUUUCCAAAAGAAUGUAUAAACACGAGUAUAUAUAUAUUUUUUCAAAUGUAUUUCCAAAACAUGUCAUGCAUACUCCCAACUAUAAAGAGAUUUACAUCAAGCCCUAAACAAGGUGAGUACCCGAAACCUCAAAUAUAAAUUUCUAAACCCGUUAUGCAAGCUUAAACCAAUAAUGGUUAGCUCUCUAACUCAAGGCUCUAACUCUACACCCGACUCUAUUCUUCAAGUCUUCCAUAGUUCUUCAAGUUCUCCUCUCCGACUCGUACGAAGGUUAAGCUUCAUCGAAGAUUCUCCAUCGCCUAAUAGCGUUAAGCGCCCAAACAACAAGUAGCAAACAGAAAGGGUUAACUCCAUGCAAUUACCAAGUAUAAAAGGGAAAAGCAUGCUAUUCAAAUUUAAGUGCAUAUCAUGGCACAUAAACUAGCAACUUAAUUCAAGAUAGAUGACGACAUAUAUUCAACAAUAUAGAUUUAAAUCAACUAUCAACAACUUCAACAAUAUUUCUACUCAGAUAUCAAUAACUUAACAACGUAUAUGUUAAUUCAGAUAUCAACAACUUAACAAAGUAACAUUUAUUCAGACAUCAACUUAACAACAUAUAACAGCUCAGAUAUCCACAACCUCCACAGUAUAGAAUCAAAUCAUAUGAUAAUAAUCUCAACAAUAUAACAUCAAAUCAAAUAACAACAACCUCAAUCUAAAUCAUCUAAUCAGAUGUCGACAACCCCAACAAUAUCACAUCAAACCUUAUAUCAACGACCUCAACAAUAUAACAUCAAAUCAGAUAUCAGUAACCUCAACAAUAUAACGACAAAUCAGAUAUCAAUAAUCCUCAACAAUAUAACAACAAAUCAGAUAUCAAUAAUCCUCAACAAUAUAACAACAAAUCAGAUAUCAAUAAUCCUCAACAAUAUAACAUCAAAUCAGGUAUCGACAAUCCCCAACAAUAUCAAUCAAACAAUAACGUCUCGCAAGACGGGACAGUCCUGUGAAAAUAUCCACUCCACUGUCACUAAGUAACGCCUCGAAGGACGGAAUAGUCAUGUGAAAACAUGCACUCCACUGCCACUUGAUAACGUCUCGCAAGACGGGACGAUCACGUGGGACAAUCACCACCACACCGCCACUUAACGCCACAUGGACGGGACAAUCACGUGGGACAAUCACCACCACAUUGCCACUUUAGGACAUCUCGAAAGAUGGGACGAUCACGUGGGACAAUAUCCACCACAUCGCCACUUUAUAACGCCUUGGUAGACGGGACAAUCACGUGGGACAAUCACCACCACAUUGCCACUUCAAGUUCAAGCCGUAAAUGUCAAGUUAGUCAACAACAAUCCUCAACCUCAGUAAUCACUCAAACAACAGUCUCAAAUCCAACAAUCAAAUCAAGGUAACCACAUGUUAUUCAUAACCUCAACAAACAUAAAUCAAUUCAAUGCAUACCAACUCAGUUCAAUGACAGAAACCAGUAAACGGCCGAAGCCUCUCAGAAAACGGAGACACACGUCUCAAUAAGUUUACUCGGCCGAAGCCUUCAUAAAACAUUUGGCACAAGCCUCAGAAACAGAAACAGUCAAUAUAAGCAAGCAUACAACAUUGCAAGCAUAAUAAUCACAAUCCAAUGCCAAUCAAUAUAAACAUCUUCAUCUCAAACGUAGGCAGUGCGAUAAAAGCAGGCAAGACUCAAAGACGCUCUAAAACUGAGUUACUCUUACCUUAGCCAAUUUCUCCAUCCAAGCUCAACAUCCCAGUCCAAUCCAAAAUAAAGCUCCCGAACCCAGUAAGUUCCCCGGGCGUCCUCCUCAAUUGUGAAACCUCACCAAUUGCUCCAAAGUCUCUUUCCUCAGCUCAACUCGUUCCAAACCUUAAGCAAAGUAUCAUUGCUUAGUCGCUAAGAAACAAAACAACUAAUAACACUAUCAAAACCCGAAAAGAAGCUUUUGAAGCUCUAGAGUUCGACAUUUAGGCACGAAUGGACAAUAAGACAGGUUUUCGCUAAAAUGCGCAUAACUCGAGCUACAGAACUCGGAAUGACACGAAACCAAUGCCAAAAUUUCGACAAUUGAAAGAGCUACGCAAUGGCUUAGGUCAUACAGACCCAAAAAUUAUUUUUGGACACGGUACCCUAACAAACAGGUUUCGGCCACUUUAGAAAAUAGGGUUUCCGAACUUUUUCUUCGAUCUAAAUCAAUUCCUAGGUAUUCUUAGGCGAUAUCUAGGCCAGGGAAACUCUCAGAAAAAUUAUCGGAUCGAAAACUAGAACAGGUGUAUUUUGGUCAAGAUUUUUAGCUCGGAAACUCAAAAUCGGAAUUUCGAAAAAUAAAUUGGAUGAGGUCGAUGCCCACGACGUUUAUGACAACUAAUCCUACUGAAGUCAAGCUCAGUCGAGAGUUUUUUAUUCAAAAAGCGGAACCUCAACAUAAAAAUGGGUAUUUCUACAUAAUUUGAUCUCUGCGGAGAUUCGGCGAGAUUCAGCAGAAAACAACUGGAUAUUCAUGUUCUUGGGCAUGCAGGGAAUAAGUUUAGACAGAGAAAUCAAGUUAUUUGGACAGUUUUACAAAAAGCUCAAAACUUUGAGCACAGAAAGACAUAGAGAAAAGCGACAGAAUUUACGAUCAGAGGUAAGGAAAAGUAUCAGUACCUCGAGGCCUACGCGUAGCAACGAACUGUGCGACGAUCAGACAAGAAUCAGCGUAAAGCUCUCCUCCCUUUCUCUCCUCCUUGGCCGCGGGUUGUGUGUGUUGGUGGUGAUGUUUUUUUUUGUUUUUAUUCAAGCUAUUUAUAGGAAAUGGAAAAUGCGGGAAAAUGAAAAUUUCGCGAUUCUGAUUUUUCCUGGGCAUUCCUCUAUGAAUUCUAAGAUAGGUUCUGGCAACAGAAUUUCAGAACUCAAAACAGGUUUCUCAGAAUUAAAGCAAACGAUCCAAAGUCGGUGUAAAUCUAUUUUACCCGAAAACUUACUUUUUGCAGUUGAUGUCGGAUGAGAAAACUUCUUUCUGAAGAAAGAUUAGAAACUUCGAAAGAAAUAGGUGUUCGAGUGUGGAAUCUUCGUUUGAAGCUCCGAAUAGAAAAAGUCUUCAUCGACAGUUUACUUUAAGGUUCUUGAGCUAUCAGGGAUUCAGUUUCGGCAAACCUCCGAGAAUCGGAAACGAUAAUUCGUACAUUCCAGGGUUUCGUGUCGAAACACUCGUCAGGGAAAGGAAUAUGAGAAAUUCUUAUAAUCCUCUGAAUAUUUUUGAAUUCUGCUUCUACAGUGCUUUAAGAGCGAAUUAGCCUUUUACUAACGCUUUCGCCCUAAGGCGGAAGUGAAUAAAGCUCGUGCUAUAACCUAUAGCGACAAUAGUACUAUUCUUAGUUGUUUCCUGAACUUUCUCCUUCAUAAUACUAAUCCAAACAUCAACCAUAAGUCAAGUUCCUCUCACGCUGACACAAAAUCCUAUGCGUGAGUUGGAAAUUAAUUAUUUAUUAUUUAUUCAAUUCUAAAAUCCUGGGUCUUACAGAUUUGAACCCUCGACUUGGAGAAGUCUAAUCCAUCAAGUACCAUUUAAGCUAUUCAUACCAGUAUAUUUUAAUAGAAGCUGUCCACCGCAGGUGAAAAAAAAAGAGGAAUUUGUGCCUUCUCUCUAAAUUCGAACACAUGACUUGCCAAAAAAAAAAGAUUUUCUCAUGACAACACGUGUAAUUUUAAUUUGUAUAAGAACUCAGUAUAUCUUAUUUUUUAUAUGUAUUUUCGGUUGUAAUAGGUUGAACCAAUGACUUAGUGGUUAAACCAUUGAUGGGUGAAUAUUAUUAUUAUUAUUAUUAUUAUUAUUAUUAUUAUUAUUAUUAUUAUUAUUAUUAUAAAAUAAGGUGAUUUGAAAAUUUAAGGAGGAAGAAAAUAUGCUUAUGAAGAGAAUGAUUAUCUUAGGGUCAAAGUUCUGAACAUAUUAGUGCCUUAAUAUAGGAUUAUUAGAAAUUAAAUUAAAGGAAAAUCAAAUAAAAUAUAAUACUUUGACAAAUGAUGAAAAAUUUAAACAUCAUUCACACACACCUUGACAAAUUCAUAGACUUGACUAAUUAAGCUGCAAUCAGAGGUAUUAAAUGGUGAUUUAGUGAAGAACACUUGUCUUCAUGGUGAAGUGACAAGUCCAAGAACACUUGUCUUUGUGCAUGCACUUUCAUGGCCACUUGUCCUUCAACUUUCUUCAACAUUUGCCCUAUAAAUUCGACAUUUCUGCAGCCCUAAGGUCACACCACACCUUACACUCAACCUUGCUUCAGAAAUCAGAGAGAAGAUCUCAAUUUUCCUUACAAACCUUCAACUUGUUCUUCACUUUCUCCUUUUGUUCUUCACGAAAUUCUCUUUCUAUUUCUCUAAAACCACUUCAAUUAUGUUUCUGGGUGUGUGAGGAUUAAAUCUGGAGAGUUUGGCAAACUUCUGGGCACAAAAUCAUCAAUUCUGGGUUCAAUCUUCAACUUGUUCUUCAUCUUCAACCUUCUCAAAUCACUCAAAAACCACCACCAUCAUGUUCCUAGAAGCCUAAAUAUCAAUUAUGGAAAGUUUUAUAAAAUUCUGGGUUGAUUUGGGCUAUUUAUGGGCUUAAUAUUCAAGUUGGGCAUCGUGUUCAUCGCUGCCACCGUGUUGUCCAGUUUUCCGGCAAGAAUCGUCAACUUAAAACGUGUUUUUCUCCCUCUUCCGAACUAUGGUUGCGACGAUUCAAAAGCCUUUGUUCUUCUGGAAGAAAGGAGAAUCUGAAUCUGUGAUCCAUUUAUCUCCGGCGAGGAACGCUGCCGCCGCAUCUUCAUAUUCUCGGCGAGUUAAUUUCUGGAAAUUUCCAGAUUUGCAAUUUUCAGGUUCUUUCACUUCCCGAACCUAUUUUUAAGCUUAUAUUAAUAAUUUUAAGCAUGAAAAACAUACAUUACAACCCUUAAUUCAUGAAAGAUUGGACUUUAAGCUUAAAUGGUCUAAAAAUGGUGAUUUUCAUGAUUAUCACAACUUGGAAUUUUAUCUUUAUGUGAUUUCUUAAACUGGAAACAUUAUGAUUAUGUCAAAAUGAUGCAUAUUUUGUUAGCUUUUUCUUAUCUUAAUUUAUGGAAUUAUUAGUGAUUAACUAGUCAAAUUAAGUGGGAAAUGUCUAACAAAUCUCAAUGGUGAAAUGCUCAUCUAAGCUAAUCUGGAAUUGAUGGUGAAAUGUUUAAGCACGAAGGAACUAAAGUGAAUAACUAACCUAAGUGUAUGGGAGCUAAUUAGUUAAGAGAAAUUAAUUAAUGACUAAAUUAACUUAUCCAAACAAAUUAAGGAUUUAUCAACGAGAAUCAUUACUUUUUCUCAUCAUUAUAAGGCUAUGAGUUUAAGAAAGAUUGAAAUGGUUAAGUAACAAAAGGGAAUGGAAGGUAAUUAAGAAGCGCAUGUUUUCAUGAAGUUAUAGACAAAGUGAAUUGUAACCAUAAUUCUAUGCAGAGGAAACUCAUGAGGAUUGACGGAUACGAUAAUUAUCUAAGAACUAAGGUAAGAUGGGGAGAGGUCACCAACCAUGAUGGAGGAAUAAUACGAAUAAAUGAGUAUUGGACCCUCCUUAGGUCCUUUGUCGGUUGUUUGUUGUGAAUUUGCCUUAACUUGUAUGCUUUAUGUCGUUGAUUGACUAAGUGGUUAAGAAGAUUGAAGUGGUAUUUGUCUCUUGAUGAUUUAUGUGAUUUGGAAUUAUAACCCUGAUUGUCUUGAUAGAUUAGUCUUGGCUCUGUGAGCAAGGUGAUGUUGAUAGCCUUGGCUCCAUGAGCAAGGUGAUGUUGAUGGAUUAGCCUUGACUCUGUGAGCAAGGUGAUGUUGAUGGAUUAGCCUUGGCUUUUUUAGCAAGGUGAUGUUGAUAGAUUAGCCUUGACUCCCUGAGUAAGGUGAUGUUGAUGGAUAAGUCUUGACCUCGUGGACGAACUUAUGUAACCCUCUGGCUGCAUGAGCAGAGGUGUGAUUGAUGAUUUGUUCCUUGGCUCCAUCAGCAAGGAUGUAUGUGCACACAUGAUUUCUCUUGGCCCUGUAAGCAAGAAUGAUUCUAAGGGAUUCCCUUGGUCCCGUGGACAAGGAUUUCGAUCUUGGCUCCGUGAGUAAGAACGAUGUCUUGAUCCUGUGGACAAGGUUUUCUUUGGCUCUGUGAGCAAAGCCAUAUGAUUUUUAUGUCUGAUUUUGGAUUUCUUGGUGGAAAUGAACAUGAUAUGUCUGUUGAUGUGUGGCUCAUUUAUGUUACGUUAUUCCCUGAUGGGAUUGAGUUGGAAUGCUUCUCACCCCUCUGUUGUUUGUUUUGUUGUUUUUCUCCUCUUUUAUCAGUGACAGGCACUGAAGAUGGAGAUUGAGUUGUUGAGAGAUGUGGGGCAAGACUUUGGGCGUAGAUCGAGUUUUGUGCGCCAAAGUUACUAAGCCAUGGUAGAUAUCGGUGGGUAAGAGUUUAGGAUUCAGGAUCAUGCAUUUUGUGUACACCAGGAUUUACUCUUUGACUAUACGACUUAGGGAAGAUGCUAAUUGGAAUUUUAAUUCGGAGAUAUAUCUAAGUCUUGAUGUUGUCUUUAAUAUAGAAAAGUUUUAAAUUUCUUGUCAAGUAAUGUAUGAGUAGAACUAAAUUUGCAUCACAAGUUUGGGUGUCACACGGUACCUAGACCGAAUCGAGUUUAAUAAUUGUCAUGUAGGUUUUUUUUUUGUUCGAAACAUCAUAAAGUUAAAUUGCAUCUUCCAAUGACUGAACCCUUGACCUCUCUCACCCAACUCAUAUGUCCUCUAGCUCUUAGCACUUGAGUUAUCAUUUGGGGACAUGUAGGUUCAUUGUUGAGUAAAUAAAAUUUUAAAAAAAAUCGAUUAAAUAAAACUUUUCAAGAAUAAAAAAAAGGAAAUUUUAUUCUUUUCAGAAACAAUUUUACAUUUGAGUUUAACAGAAGGAAGUUUCUCGAACGGAAGGAAGUUUCAUUCACAAGAGGCUGAAAACCUUUCCCACACAAUGGAAGGCAUCUCGUGGAGGAUCCAUGCACGCCUCUUCCGUGGCAAUAGAAACGUGGUAACCAUCAGGAGCAUCAAUGCAAGGCAGGUCUUCGACAAGCGUGGCAAUCCAACCAUCCAGGUUGGCUUCCUCUUCCUCUUCCUCUUCCAUUUCCACACUUGCUAUUUUCUCCCCUCCCUCUUCUGACUAUCACUGCAGGUGGAUUUGACAUGCUCCGAUGAUACUCUCUCUACUUUUGUCCUCCCAGUAUCAAGCGGUGUAUCUACUGGUAUUCUUCGCUCAUUUUCCUUAGAAGCGCAAGUGUCUUUAUUUGUUUAAUUCUCUGUGUUUGUCUACUUCUCAGACUUUGUGCUUGUCUUUAAAUCCGAUGGCAUUUUCUCUUUUCUUCUAGUAUAGCACUUUCAAAAUUGACUGUGACUGAAAUAGGGCUGGUAGAUAUAGCUACUUUAAAUGGUACCGGCGCUACUUUGGUUGGGUAUGGGAGGCUGCUUACCUCCAACUUAAUCCUAUGNNNNNNNNNNNNNNNNNNNNNNNNNNNNNNNNNNNNNNNNNNNNNNNNNNNNNNNNNNNNNNNNNNNNNNNNNNNNNNNNNNNNNNNNNNNNNNNNNNNNNNNNNNNNNNNNNNNNNNNNNNNNNNNNNNNNNNNNNNNNNNNNNNNNNNNNNNNNNNNNNNNNNNNNNNNNNNNNNNNNNNNNNNNNNNNNNNNNNNNNNNNNNNNNNNNNNNNNNNNNNNNNNNNNNNNNNNNNNNNNNNNNNNNNNNNNNNNNNNNNNNNNNNNNNNNNNNNNNNNNNNNNNNNNNNNNNNNNNNNNNNNNNNNNNNNNNNNNNNNNNNNNNNNNNNNNNNNNNNNNNNNNNNNNNNNNNNNNNNNNNNNNNNNNNNNNNNNNNNNNNNNNNNNNNNNNNNNNNNNNNNNNNNNNNNNNNNNNNNNNNNNNNNNNNNNNNNNNNNNNNNNNNNNNNNNNNNNNNNNNNNNNNNNNNNNNNNNNNNNNNNNNNNNNNNNNNNNNNNNNNNNNNNNNNNNNNNNNNNNNNNNNNNNNNNNNNNNNNNNNNNNNNNNNNNNNNNNNNNNNNNNNNNNNNNNNNNNNNNNNNNNNNNNNNNNNNNNNNNNNNNNNNNNNNNNNNNNNNNNNNNNNNNNNNNNNNNNNNNNNNNNNNNNNNNNNNNNNNNNNNNNNNNNNNNNNNNNNNNNNNNNNNNNNNNNNNNNNNNNNNNNNNNNNNNNNNNNNNNNNNNNNNNNNNNNNNNNNNNNNNNNNNNNNNNNNNNNNNNNNNNNNNNNNNNNNNNNNNNNNNNNNNNNNNNNNNNNNNNNNNNNNNNNNNNNNNNNNNNNNNNNNNNNNNNNNNNNNNNNNNNNNNNNNNNNNNNNNNNNNNNNNNNNNNNNNNNNNNNNNNNNNNNNNNNNNNNNNNNNNNNNNNNNNNNNNNNNNNNNNNNNNNNNNNNNNNNNNNNNNNNNNNNNNNNNNNNNNNNNNNNNNNNNNNNNNNNNNNNNNNNNNNNNNNNNNNNNNNNNNUCCUCUCUAAGAUUGCAGAGGCAGAGCACUUUUGAUGCCCAUGUGCUUUCCUCAACCUAGGACAAGGAGAAGAUCGCUAAUCCUUGAGAAGAUGAUGGCUUCAUCUCGAGUAGACAUGGGCGAGUGGGCGACUUCAGCGUUGUCGCAAUCUAUUCUAAGAAGGUGACCUUCCUUUUUCUAGAACGAAGAAGAAGAUGAAUCACGAACAGAAUAAGACGUAGGAAAGAUAAGUUGCUUAUAAGUAAAAAGCUCAUCUCCAUAACUUUUUUUUCUUAAAAGUUACUUAUUUCUAUUUUAUGUUGUAAAAAAUAAGUAACUUUAAUUUUUAGAGCUUUUUAAAAAUUAUGUUUGACCUAACUUAUCUUAAAAGUAACUUAAAAGUAAAAAAAAAACUGGCGAAACACUACCUUAGAAAUUUAAUGUUUCUUGGCUCUGUUCCAUUUCUCUUAUCUAUGGUGCUAAUGAUAACUUUCAUAGCUUGUCACCAUAUCUGUUUCUAUUUGUUUUUUAUUUGAAAGCUGAAUCAAAUAUAUAUUAAAAAGCCUCAAAGGGAGCAAAGAGAUCACCGGUCCAGAAACAUUGCCUCAAAACAUAUGAAACCCUCCACUAUGGCCAUUAGAGAUCUUUGAGAAUGAGUUUCAAUAAAAUCUUAUUAGGAAAAACCCAGUAGGAUAAAAACCUAAUGAAGGAAAAAAGAGUGUUCAAUUCUCAAAGAGGCCAAAAAUACACACAGACAAAACCCCACCCUUCCUCUAGAAAAAAACAAUAUUACAUAACAAAUGUUUAGCUCCAAAUUCAGAAUACACGCAUGAAGCUAAUCUACUAGCUUUCUACAGCCCCUUCCUUUAUGCAUACUUAUGACAUGCCAUUAUACUAGCCAUCCCACCAUUCUUUCAAAUAGGCUGCAAUUCACCAUUUGUGCCCCUGCAAUCACGACAAACCACCUGCACAAGGGAACAAACACCCAAGCGAAUCAAAAGAUUUGCAUACCUCAAGCGUGACCCUCAUAUGUCUGGCUUGAUUUGUUUGGGAUCUGGUCAGUAUUAGUCAUUCUGGUAACUCUUGGUUGUUACCCUUGCCCUUUCUGGGCUGUUCAUAGUUUCUGUGAUGUGGUCUUUGUGAAUAACUCUGAAACUUUAAUGUGUUGGAAAUUAUAAACAGUAUUUUGAUGUGGAAUAACAACCUAUUUUUAGAACUAGUACAGGGAGAGGAUGGGGUCACAACUCGAGCCAGAAGGACGUGGUUGGUGGGAAAGGAGUUGGGGUUGAAAGCAAGAGGCUCAGAGGUUUGGAAAGCUCAAAUUUGUGAAAACCACCCAAACCUCAUUUGAUCUCUUGCAUGGGGAACCUCUAGUUAACAUGGAAUGUUUGUGGGUUAGGAGGUAGCUCAGUGAAACGUAAGGCAGUUAAGAAGGCAAUAGCACAAUGACGUUCGAAUCUUCUUCUAAUUCAAGAAACUAAAUUGAGUGAAGGGAAUUUUGGUUGGCAAGAAAUAUUCAAUGACGAGCAUUUAAUUUCCAGCGUCAAUUUAUAAUUUUAUAUGGGAUGCCCAAAAUCCAAAGGCUGCUCUUAUUAUUUCUAUCAAUUUGAGCAAAGAGUCACGCACAUUAAGCUUGGGGACGUGAAAAGUUAGAGGAAGUAUAUUGCAUGGUCUUCACCUCAAGGCUUGCAUCUUAUUAAAAUGGACAAGGAGGGUUUGGUGGGAUGUUGAGAAAUAAUGUUGGUGCGGUGUGGGGAUAUUUUUCCAAAUCAAUGAAGGUAUGCAGGGCUGAUGAGGCAGAGGUGUUAGCGAUUUUACAUGCACUUUUAUUUUGUCAACAAUUUAAUGUGUUUCAGGUGGCAUUUGGGAGUGACUCUUCACUUGUAACUAGAUAUUAUACCCGUGCGUUGCACGGGUUUACCAACAAUAUCUUUUAACAUAAAAAUAUUCAAUAAAAAUUAUUAUAGUUUAACUAAAUAAAAAUUAAAUAAUUUUAAUUAUAAAUAUUAAAAAAUUGUGUUCAGAAAUUUUAAUAAAUAUUAUUUAUAGUUCUUUUUGUAUAAAUAAUUAAUAUUACUAAAAUUUAAUUAGCAUAGAAAUAAUUUUAACAAUUAAAAAUUAUUUAUUUAAUAAUAUGAAAAUUUAUUAAGUUAAUUUGAAAUAUAUAAAUUACGUAAAAAAUAUUAAGUAAUAAGUGUUUAAUGUCAUGAAAUAAGUUUUAAUAUCAUUUUUUAUAUUUCUUACCUGAAAAGUCAUUUGUUGUGACAUAUCAAGACCAAGAAGAAUAAAUUAAUUUUAAAUUUUGGAAUUAUAAUAAGUGACGACUUCAAUAGCCUUUUGAUAAAAAAAAAAUAGCCUAAAAUAUUAUCUUGUGAAUUUAAUUUUGUUUCCAACUUAUUUGGUUUACGAAUGUUUUUUCACAGCCGAUAGUCAUGAGGCUAAUCCCUUGAGGCUCUACGAUGACGUUAAGUGGAUAAGCCUAGCUUCUCACAAUAAACAUUUGUUCAACUUUGACAAUUAUUAUUUUUCUCUAUUAUGCUUCCUUGAGUAAUUUUUACUAAUAUAUUAUAGAUCAAAAAAUAUAUUUAAUUUUUUUUAUCCAUAUUAUUUAAUAUUAAAUAAUUUAAAUUUUUAAUAUUUGUCAAAUGCUAAACUUAAGAUAAUUUUAGUGUUUUUUUCUAAAAAAGUCAAAAAAUUGAUGAAUUUUGUUUUUUAAUAUAAGUACUUGAAUAUUUUUUGACAAUACCAUUUUUUUUAAUAUAUUAUUACAAAUAAAAUUUAUUAUUUGUUAAUGUAUUUUAAUACAAAGGUAUGAGAGUUUUAUGGUUUAAGGUAUGUAAUGUAAAACUCAAGUCUCAUGUACAUCUAAAUAGAAUUUUUUAAUUUUAAAUCUUUAGAGUUUAAUGGAUAUGCACUGACAGUGUAAAAUAGUUUUACACAGUCAUCCAAUAAAAACAUGCCACAUAGGAGAGAUAAUUACAUUUGACUUUAAUUUUAAUUAAAAGAAUAAGAUAUUUUAUGAUUUGGCGGAAUUCAAUUGGAUGUCUGUGUAAAACUAUUUUACACUGUCAGUGCAUAUCCAUUAAACUCAAAUCUUUAUAUCUAAAUUUUUUUUAAUAAAUAUUAUUUUCUUAUUGAAUUUAAUUUUUAAUAUUUGUGAAAUACAAAAUUCAUGUAAAUUUUGAGUUUAUGAAUAUAAUGUUGUUAUUUAAUGUAAGUAGUUGAAUAGUUUUUGACAAUAUAAAUUUUUUCAUUUUAAUUUUAUUAUUGUUUAAUCUAUUUAUUACAAAGUUAUUUUUGUAUGUUUUUAAUACAAUGUAACACUUGAGCUUUUCUUAUGUAUUUAAUGUUAAAGCUCAAGUGUGCUUUACAUAUAUAUAUAGAUAUAGAUGGGUUGGGGCCGGGGUAUUGUGGCGAGGAAAGGCCGUGACGAAUUUCAUUGAAUUGAUUAUCUUAUGACGCUUGGUUUUUGUUAUGAUGUUAGUCAUAUUCUAAGAGAGGGAAAUUCUGAGGCAGAAGUUUUGGCCAAGGAAGGGGACAGGGGGUUGCAAGCAAUCCUGUGUAGGUUUUUCAUGGGCAUAUUGCUUUGUAAUUAAUAUUCGACUUUUGAGACUUGGUUCUCUUUUAUCUUCAUGAAUAAAGUUGGGUUUUCAAAAGAAUAAAUAAAAAAUUAUUAUUUUCAAUUUAUUUGGUUUCUAAAUGUUUCCCCACAGUUGAUAUCCAUGAUUAAUCCCCUCGAGACUCUACGAUCGCGUUAAGUGGAUAGAUCUCUCACAACAAAAAUUUAUACAACUUAUGUCAUUAUUAUUUUUCUCUAUUAUGCUUCCUUAAUUAAUUUUUACUAAUAUAUCAUAGAUAAAAAAUAUUUAAAUAUUUUUCAAUAAUGCACAUAUAUGUUAUAGUUAAUAUUAAAUACCUUUUAGCGGCAUUUUUUCCUUUUACUAAUAUAUCAUAGAUAAAAAAGGACCUAGUCUAUUUGGUAACUAAUAUCAUAAUUUCACGUAAUGCACAAACGCUUAAUAAGCUAAAACAAACUCCACAUGACUUAGGUAGCGUUUGGUGACGGAACAGAACAUAACAUAACAGAACGGAACGGGACAGAACAUGAUGGAACAAGACAAUAAUGGUCUGUGUGUUGUGUUUGGUAACUCCUAGUCAUUAUAACAGAACCAUAAUUUUAAUUACAUAUAUAACCCUGCAUGAUUAAUAUUUGAUUGAGGAUAAAAAAAUUGAACAUGCAUAGAAACCGUUUGUUAUUUCUUAUUUCAUGAAAUAAUCACUUAUUUCUUUAAAAUAAUCACUUAUAUAUUAUUUAAGUUGUUUCAGUGUGCUUUUAAAAAAAUACAAAAUUUGAUUAUCUCUUUAAGCUAUUUUAAGUGCGUUUGUUUAGAUUAAUUUUUAGAGAUUUUGAGAAAAGCAUAAGUUUAUUUGUGUUUGACUACUCUAAUUAAAAUCGCUUUUUUUAAUCUCCUCUUGUCUAUCAUAAUAGAUUUUUAUGAUAAGUUAAAAGUAGUUUUUUCAAAUAAGUUGUUUUCAGCUUUUAAAAAAAGACGAAACGAACAUAAUAUGAUUUUUUGAAUUUAAAAAGUGAUUUUGGAUUAAAAUAAGUGAUUUUUUUAUCAAUUUUAUAAGUGAUUUUUUUAUCAAAAAAUUGAUUUUUCUAAAAUAAGUUGAAUCAAAUGAACUAUAAUUGGCUCGUUUGUCCACUGCUUAAAAAAGUGAUUUUUCUUUUGACAAAAAUAAUUGAUUUUAUUUUAAGUGAUUUUUUUGAAAAACAGAAAUUAUUUAACUUUGUCUACAAAUAUAAUAAGUACUUUUCACUUUAAGAAGUGAUUUAAAACUGUUUAGAUAAAAAGAUUUCAAAUAUAAAUUAGGAGUAUUUUUAACUGUGUAAAACUUUUAAGAGAGUGUUCUGUUUCGUUCUCUUCCGUUCCACCCUUUUCCAGGGAACCAAAGUGUCCCGUUUCUUGAGCUUUUUGAACUGAUCCGUUCCAUCUUAAAAGCAUGACAAACACAGAACAUAACCCAUACGUCAUGUUCCGUUCCCUUCCCACCUGUUUACCAAACGCUACCUUAAUAUUGUUGUCCAAUAUUUUAAUAGAAGCUUUUUGUUUAGUAUCUAGAUAUCAGUAGGAUUUGAACCCUGGACUUGGAGAAUUCUAAUCCAUCAAGUAUCAUUUAAGCUAUUCAUACCAGUAUAUUUUAAUAGAAGUUGUCCACCUCAGGUGAAAAAAAAAAAGGAAUUUGUGCCUUCUCUCUAAAUUCGAACACAUGACUUGCCAAAAAAAAUAUUUUCUCCAUGACAACAUGUAUAAUUUUAAUUUGUAUAAGAACUCAGUAUAUAUUAUUUGUUAUAUGUAUUUCCGGUUGUAAUAGGUUGAACCAAUGACUCAGUGGUUGAACCAUUGAUGGGUGAAUAUUAUUAUUAUUAUUAUUAUUAUUAUUAUUAUUAUUAUUAUUAUAAAAUAAGAUGAUUUGAAAAUUUAAGGGUGGAAGAAAAUAUGCUUAUGAAGAGAAUGAUUAUCUUAGGGUCAAAGUUCUGAAUAUAUUAGUGCCUUAAUAUAGGAUUAUUAGAAAUUAAAUUGAACGAAAAUCAAAUAAAAUAUAAUACUUUGACAAAUGAUGAAAAACUCAAACCUCAUUUACACACACCUUGACUAAUUCAUAGACUUGAUUAAUUAAGCUGCAAUCAGAGGUAUUAAAUGGUGAUUUAGUGCAGAACACUUGUCUUCAUGGUGAAGUGACAAGUCUAAGAACACUUGUCUUUGUGCAUGCACUUUUAUGGCCACUUGUCCUUCAACUUUCUUCAACCCUUGCCCUAUAAAUUCGACCUUUCUGCAGCCCUAAGGUCACACCACACCUCAGGCUCAACCUUGCUUGAGAAAUCAGAGAGAGAAGCUCUCAAUUUUCCUUACAAACCUUCAACUUGUUCUUCAUUUUCUCCUUCUUGUUCUUCACGAAAUUCUCUUUCUUUUUCUCCAAAACCACUUCAAUUAUGUUUCUGGGUGUGUGAGGAUUAAAUAUGGAGAGUUUGGCAAACUUCUGGGCACGAAAUCAUCAAUUCUGGGUUCAAUCUUCAACUUCUUCUUCAUCUUCAACCUUCUCAAAUCACUCCAAAACCACCACCAUCAUGUUCCUAGAAGCCUAAAUAUCAAUUAUGGAAAGUUUUAUAAAAUUAUGGGUUGAUUUGGGCUAUUUCUGGGCUCAAUAUUCAAGUUGUUCAUCGUGUUCAUCGCUGCACCGUGUUGUCCAGUUUUCCGGCAAAAAUCGUCAACUUAAAACGUGUUUUUCUCCCUCUUCCGAACUAUGAUUGCGACGAUUCAAAAGCCUUUGUUCUUCUGGAAGAAAGGAGAAUCUGAAUCCGUGAUCCAUUUAUCUCCGGCAAUGAACGCCGCCGCCGCCGCAUCUUCAUCUUCUCCGAUGAGUUAAUUUCUGGAAAUUUCCAGAUUUGCAAUUUUCAGGUUCUUUCACUUCCAGAACCUAAUUUUUAAGCUUAUAUUAAUGAUUUUAAGCAUGGAAAACAUACAUUACAACCCUUAAUUCAUGAAAGAUUGGACUUUAAGUUUAAAUGGUCUAAAAAUGGUGACUUUCAUGAUUAUCACAACUUGAAAUUUUAUCUUUAUGUGAUUUCUUAAACUUGACAGAUUAUGAUUAUGUCAAAAUGAUGCAUAUUUUGUUAGCUUUUUCUAAUAUUAAUUUAUGGAAUUAUUAGUGAUUAACUAGUCAAAUUAAGUGGGAAAUUUCUAACAAAACUCAAUGGUGAAAUGCUAAUCUGGAAUUGAUGGUGAAAUGUUUAAGCACGAAGGAACUAAAGUGAAGAACUAACCUAAGUGUAUGAGAGCUAAUUAGUUAAGAGAAAUUAAUUAAUGACUAGAUUAACUUAUCCAAACAAAUUAAGGAUUUAUCAACUAGAAUCCUUACUUUUUCUCAUCAUUAUAAGGCUAUGAGUUUUAGAAUGAUUGAAAUGGUUAAGUAACAAACGGGAACGGAAGGUAAUUAAGAAGCGCAUGUUUUCAUGAAGUUAUAUACUAAGUGAAUUGUAACCAUAAUUCUAUGCAGAGGAAACUCAUGAGGAUUGACGAAUACGAUAAUUAUCAAGGAACUACGGUAAGAUUGGGAGGGGUCACCAACCAUGAUGGGGGAAUAAUACGAAUAAAUGAGUAUUGGACCCUCAGGUCCUUUGCCGAUUGUUUAUUGUGAAUUUGCCUUAACUUGUAUGCUUUAUGUCGUUGAGUGACUAAGUGGUUAAGAAGAUUGAAGUGAUAUUUGUCUCUUGAUGAUUUUCGUGAUUUGGAAUUAUAACCCUGAUUGUCUUGAUAGAUUAGGCUUGGCUCUGUGAGCAAGGUGAUGUUGAUAGCCUUGGCUCCGUGAGCAAGGUGAUGUUGAUGGAUUAGCCUUGGCUCUGUGAGCAAGGUGAUGUUGAUGGAUAAGUCUAGGCCCCGUGGGCGAACUUAUGUAACCCUCUGGCUCCUUGAGUAGAGGUGUGAUUGAUGAUUUGUUUCUUGGCUUUGUGAGUAAGGAUGUAUGUGCACACAUGAUUUCUCUUGGCUUCGUGAGCAAGAAUGAACCUAAGGGAUUCCCUUGGUCCCGUGGACAAGGAUUUUGAUCUUGGCUCCGUGAGCAAGAACGAUGUCUUGAUCCUGUGGACAAGGUUUGCUUUGGCUCCGUGAGCAAAGCCAUAUGAUUCUUAUGUCUGAUUAUGUAUUUCUUGGUGGAAAUGAACAUGAUAUGCAUGUUUAUGCGUGACUCAUUUAUGUUACGUUAUUCCCUGAUGAGAUUGAGUUGGAAUGCUUCUCACCUCUCUGUUGUGUGUUUUGUUGUUUUUCUCCUCUUUUAUCAGUGACAGACACUGAAGAUAGAGAUUGAGAUGUUGAGAGAUGUGGGGCAAGACUUUGAGCGUAGAUCGAGUUUUGUGCGCUGAAAUUGCAUUUUCCAAUGAUUGAACCUUGGACCUCUCUCACCCAACUCAUAUGUCCCCUAGCUCUUACCACUUGAGGACAUGUAGGCUCAUUGUUGAGUAAAUAAUAUUUAAAAAAAAUCAAUCAAAUAAAUUUUCUCAAGAAUAAAAAAAAGAGGAAAUUUUAUUAAAUUUGAGUUUAAAAGAAGGAAGUUUCUAGAACGGAAGGAAGUUUCAUUCACAAGAGGCUGAAAACCUUUCCCACACAAUGGAAGGCAUCUCGUGGAGGAUCCAUGCACGCCUCUUCCGUGGCAAUAGAAACGUGGUAACCAUCAGGAGCAUCAAUGCAAGGCAGGUCUUCGACAAGCGUGGCAAUCCAACCAUCCAGGUUGGCUUCCUCUUCCUCUUCCUCUUCCAUUUCCACACUUGCUAUUUUCUCCCCUCCCUCUUCUGACUAUCACUGCAGGUGGAUUUGACAUGCUCCGAUGAUACUCUCUCUACUUUUGUCCUCCCAGUAUCAAGCGGUGUAUCUACUGGUAUUCUUCGCUCAUUUUCCUUAGAAGCGCAAGUGUCUUUAUUUGUUUAAUUCUCUGUGUUUGUCUACUUCUCAGACUUUGUGCUUGUCUUUAAAUCCGAUGGCAUUUUCUCUUUUCUUCUAGUAUAGCACUUUCAAAAUUGACUGUGACUGAAAUAGGGCUGGUAGAUAUAGCUACUUUAAAAUGUAGCGGUGCUAUUUGGUUUGGUUAUGGUAGGCUGCUUACUCCAACUAAUCCUAUGAAAAAAAUUUUAAAUAUUUACUUUAAAAUGUUAUUAGGGAUUGACAAGGCCCUUGAAUCGAGAGACGGAAGAUCAGACUACCUUGUAAAAGGUGUAUCAAAGGUACUCUCAUGUCUCAGGAAAGGUUGUCUUGUGAUUGGUCUACCACCGUUGUAUUAUUUUCACCUAUUUUUUCUGGAACUUGCAGGCUGUUGACAAUGUGAACAACAUCAUUGCCCCUGCAUUGAUCGACAUGGUUGGUUAUAUUUACUUUUCACCUGUGUUUUUGCUGAACCAUUUUUCCUUUUAUGUUAGGAUUUGUUAAUUAUUCCCUUAGUAUUGUAGUUCUGCGAUUUUAAGCCUACAACAUUUAAGGUUAGUAAUGAUACUAAAGCUUCUUUGGAUUGAAGAAAUUUUUCUGUUUUCUUGUGUGACAAUGAAAAGGAUCCAACUCAGCAGACAGAUAUUGACAACCUAAUGGUUCAACUGCUUGGUGGAAGUGUUAAUGAAUGGGGUUCGUGCAAGGAAAAGGUGCUUAGCAGACCAUAUUUGUAAUCAUUCAUUUUUACUAUGCUAUGUGUAAUUCUAAUGCAUAUUUUGUUGUUUUAGCUUGGGGCAAAUGCCAUAUUAGCAGUGUCAAUUGCAGUCUGCAAAGCUGGUGCAAGUGUCCUGAAAAUUCCUCUGUACAAGGUAUUUGAGCAUGAACUGUGAUACUAAAUCAUUUUAAGUUCAGUCUCUUCAUGGGAUCCAUAUUGUACAAUUGAAGCUGUUCAUGCAGUUGACUAAGUUGUAUGAAAUUCUGUUUCCAAGGUCAACAUGGUAAAUAGAUGUAUACUGUCAGAUUGAUUUAAAUAAAUAUUUACAAUGAAUUAUUUGGUUACAUGAUGCAUAUCUGCAAAUUCUUACAGCAGUGCCAACAAACACCCCCCUCUCAGUUUUCUUCCGUAUUAGCAGGGAUGUUUAUAGCGGCCGAGAGGAGUGGCGGCCAGAGACCAGUUGACAACGGAAGGUGUAGUGAGGCAUUCAAGGUUCGCGGUCGCCGCAGCCGCUUUAGUGGCAAAAUUCGCCGCCAUUGCGCCACUACACCGCCACUACAAGGAUUAGGGUUCUUUGAAGGAGAAGAAGGUUCAAGAAAGUAAAAAAUACCCGUAGAAUUAGAACGUUAGGGGCUAGGGCUAUUAGUUGAGGGUGUUUUUCAUUUUUCGGUUCUAAUAGCUCAACCUAAAGAGGGCCCUGAAAAACAAAACUUUCAUUGUGCACUGCCCUCUUCCAACUUUCUUCUCCUUUAGAUCCUUACUCCUGCACCUCCACCACUUGGACCACCUUCCAGCGUUUUAGGAUGACUUUUCCAUCCUCAUUUCUCCUUCUCC